rnacentral:snRNA from 1 species
GUGCUCUUCAGAAGCACAUAUCUUAAAACUGGAUUAGCACACUCCCAUACAAGGAUGACUUUCAAAUUCAUGAAGCAUUCCACAUUUUU